ACAAGCGGUGGAUGAUGUGGAUUAAUCGAUGCAACGCGAAGAACCUUACUACCCUUGACAUGUCCGGAACUUGCCAGAGAUGGCUUGGUGCCCGAAAGGGAAUCGGAACACAGGUGCUGCAUGGCUGUCGUCAGCUCGUGUCGUGAGAUGUUGGGUUAAGUCCCGCAACGAGCGCAACCCUUAUCAUUAGUUGCUACGCAAGGGCACUCUAAUGAGACUGCCGGUGACAAACCGGAGGAAGGUGGGAUGACGUCAAGUCCUCAUGGCCCUUAUGGGUAGGGCUUCACACGUCAUACAAUGGUCGGUACAGAGGGUUGCCAAGCCGCGAGGCGGAGCCAAUCCCACAAAGCCGAUCGUAGUCCGGAUUGUUCUCUGCAACUCGAGAGCAUGAAGUCGGAAUCGCUAGUAAUCGCAGGUCAGCAUACUGCGGUGAAUACGUUCCCGGGUCUU
rnacentral:rRNA from 1 species